rnacentral:rRNA from 1 species
GGCGUAAGGGCUCGUAGGUGGUUUGAUCGCGUCGGAAGUGUAAUCUUGGGGCUUAACCCUGAGCGUGCUUUCGAUACGGGUUGACUUGAGGAAGGUAGGGGAGAAUGGAAUUCCUGGUGGAGCGGUGGAAUGCGCAGAUAUCAGGAGGAACACCAAUGGCGAAGGCGGUUCUCUGGGCCUUUCCUGACGCUGAGGAGCGAAAGCGUGGGGAGCGAACAGGCUUAGAUACCCUGGUAGUCCACGCUGUAAACGGUGGGUACUAGGUGUGGGGUCCAUUCCACGGGUUCCGUGCCGUAGCUAACGCUUUAAGUACCCCGCCUGGGGAGUACGGCCGCAAGGCUAAAACUCAAAGGAAUUGACGGGGCCCCGCACAAGCGGCGGAGCAUGCGGAUUAAUUCGAUGCAACGCGUAGAACCUUACCUGGGUUUGACAUGGAUCGGGAGCGCUCAAAAAUGGGUGUGCCUCCUUUGGGGUCGGUUCACAUGUGGGGCAUGCCUGUCCUCAGCUCGUGUCAUGAGAUGUUGGGUUAAGUCCCGCAACCAGCGCUACCUUUGUUCACUGUUGCCAUCACGUUAUGAUGGGGACUCAAUGGAGACCGUCGGGGUCAACUCGGAGGAAGGU